UACGUAGGGGGCAAGCGUUGUCCGGAUUUAUUGGGCGUAAAGAGCGUGUAGGCGGCUUGGUAGGUCCGCUGUGAAAACUCGAGGCUCAACCUCGAGAUGUCGGCGGAAACCACUUGGCUAGAGUCCGGAAGAGGAGAGUGGAAUUCCUGGUGUAGCGGUGAAAUGCGCAGAUAUCAGGAAGAACACCUAUGGCGAAGGCAGCUCUCUGGGACGGUACUGACGCUGAGACGCGAAAGCGUGGGGAGCGAACAGG
rnacentral:rRNA from 2 species